rnacentral:rRNA from 1 species
AUACAGGGGGAUAACAGUUAGAAAUGACUGCUAAUACCGCAUAAGCGCACGGAAUCGCAUGGUUUUGUGUGAAAAACUUUGGUGGUAUGAGAUGGACCCGCGUCUGAUUAGCUGGUUGGUGAGGUAACGGCCCACCAAGGCGACGAUCAGUAGCCGGCCUGAGAGGGUGAACGGCCACAUUGGGACUGAGACACGGCCCAAACUCCUACGGGAGGCAGCAGUGGGGAAUAUUGCACAAUGGGGGAAACCCUGAUGCAGCGACGCCGCGUGAAGGAAGAAGUAUUUCGGUAUGUAAACUUCUAUCAGCAGGGAAGAAAAUGACGGUACCUGACUAAGAAGCCCCGGCUAACUACGUGCCAGCAGCCGCGGUAAUACGUAGGGGGCAAGCGUUAUCCGGAAUUACUGGGUGUAAAGGGAGCGUAGACGGUUAAGUAAGUCUGGAGUGAAAGGCCGGGGCCCAACCCCGGGACUGCUCUGGAAACUAUUCAACUUGAGUGCAGGAGAGGUAAGCGGAAUUCCUAGUGUAGCGGUGAAAUGCGUAGAUAUUAGGAGGAACACCAGUGGCGAAGGCGGCUUACUGGACUGUAACUGACGUUGAGGCUCGAAAGCGUGGGAGCAACAGGAUUAGAUACCCUGGUAGUCCACGCCGUAAACGAUGAUUACUAGGUGU